ACAGACAGAGAGGAGCUCCCUUCAAUCCAAGCACGAGGGAAAGAUGAUGGCGGGCUCAUCUCCCGGGUCAUGCACACCCAUGCAAGUGCAGAGGUGAGCAGCGGCCAUUGCUGCACCAGAGAGGUAUCCAUGAACCGGCAGCUGCAACCGACCACUUCCCCUCCUGGAUUGGAUCGAAGGGAGCUCUUCGAUCGCCUUUC
rnacentral:pre_miRNA from 1 species